CGCGGAGAGUGGGGGAUGCGGAACGAACGCCAUCCCCUGCAGAGUCGGUGCCUCCGGGGGCUCCACAGCGCGCGCUCCCACCCGCAAGUAACCAGAAGAGAGGAACAGCCUUCUAAGAGUGAGGCCCUCAAGACAUUUCCAGGCUGCCUGGACAAAGGCUUGGAAUGACUAUAAUAGUGAACCAUCCUGUCUUGGACCUGAAUCUAGAUUGAUGACCUAAUACAUCUUUUCCAACUCUGACUGCCAUGGUUUUAUGAGCAUCAAGAACUGGGCGUCUGCCACUGUCAACAAGUACAGAUUCUUCAGAGCUCGAACGUCCGCAGAAACUUAAGUGUCCCCCAAAGAACAGAGAUCGCACAGUGUCCCAGGGCUCCGGGGUGCUGCCUCUAGCUUUUACACGUGACACCGGAACUCCUCUUCGGCAGGGCCAGAAGUAGCAGAGUUUGGAUGUCUCUCCUGCCACCACAUUAAGCAUGAAAUGCAGAAUCUACCAACAAAUUAUACUCCUGUGAGAGCCCACUAACCAGCGGGUGAAGACAAUGGGAUUCGGUUCAUUUAAUACAACAAUAUUUAUUGAGCUCCUACUAUAUACGCCGGGGCUUCCCUGGAUAUGAAGAGGCAAAGAUACGGAGGAUGAUGUUGCCUUCUUUCAAGGGGGAAGUCAACACUUACUGAGUGAAACUCUGAGUGGGACAGGUUCGGAAAUAAACAGAAUGUUGUGGGAUACAAAAACUAGAACAUAGAACGAUUUCUCGGAGAGGAUGACUCUCGGACUCUGUGUUUAAAGAUGAUUAGGAGGUUAUCAGAUGAACCUGGAGAAGGGCAGCCCCAGCAGAGGGACCAGCAAGCACAGAGAAUCAGAGAUGUGGAAUAACACAGAUUUGGGACCUAAGAAGUUGUGUGCAUUGAAUGAAGGCCAAAAGGUUGGAUCCUGUUUGGAAGGUCAGGGACAAUGACAAUGGAGAAGCAAAGAGAAACCUGGAGAAGAGUGGAGGAAUGCUGGAACACAGAAAGACUCACUCACCUUGAAGAAGAGGACACACACUGGUGUGAUGAGUUCAUGUAAUCAGUUAUGGCUCAGGACUUAGAGUUUAUUCUUAGAACACGUACGCUUGGGAUUUCUUCAUGAUGGCAUGAAUCUGUUAUUUAACUAUUAUAAGAACUUACCUUCCCAAAUCUUCUUCUAUGUUAAUGGGAAAAGAGAGCCCAUUGUCAGCAGCGUCUGCUUAGGAAUAUCUUUUGUCUUGGAGCUUGUUGUAAUCACUUCCAGACCGGUGGUGUAUUUAUGAUUUACAUAAUGUUACAAAGGAAGAAGUCUUAAGGAUUUUUCUUUCUCUAAAUCUGUGUGAAUUAUUAUUUUAGACUCAUUGCCAGAUUUUUGUUAAAGGGGGAAGUUGAUGAACUUUUAAACAUGUCAUUACAUGCCCCGAAAUAGCAACUCUUUGUUCUUGCAAAGAUUUUUGUGGGAAUUUAAAGGACUGUGUGUAUGUGUGUAUGUGUGUGCAUAUGUGUGUGUGCGUGUGUUUAGAAACAGGUAGGAAAGGAAAUGGGCAAAAAGGAACACUUAAGGGUCACUGAUAAAGUUAAAUACAUAUUUUGUUUUUCUGUUAGAACAAAAGUUGGCAGAUUUGGGGGAAUCUACCUAACAUUUGGUGUGGGUUUAGGAAGCGGGCUCUACAUUCAUUUCCAAUCAUGUUUCAAUAAUUAGGGAUAGCAACAGAAGGGUUAAGCCCUAAAGCAAGGAAAUAUCUCUAAGUCAGAAAACAAAGGGAAACUUGCAUAUUUCUGAAGAUGACAUCGGAUCGGCCUGUGAAUUUCAAGCAAUUAUGCGAUAUUAUGAUUCCCACUGAGUACGCAUUAGUUGGAAUACUGAUCUUUUUAUUUCUCCAUGUCCCGGGGUUGUACACUGAAAGAGCCCUGUUCAACUUUGCAUGUCAGAAUUUUGAAGGAAAAAUUAUAGUAAAAUAUGUUUAAAACA